GCUUCAUGCCCCACUUCACAAGGCACACCUGGGGAAUAGGUUGGUUCCCUUGAAUACCUUGUAUUUCAAGUUGCAACAGGGGGAACAGUUCUGAUUACUAUUCUUCGCAGCUCCUUACAACCCAGAAGUGAAUGUGCAAGGGAUGGAGCAGCAAGAGCUGGAAAACAAGAGAAGUGAUGCCUGCCAACUUUUGGAAUCUUAGAUGAAUAAUCACUCAGAUGACCAAUAUUGGUAAAAAGUGACUAAAUGCAAUUGGAUCAGUGUGGCAGCAACUGUGGACAUUACAAAAUCUAUUAAUUCAGUCAUUGCUCUGAAUGAUACCAAAUCAAGUGCUCAAGGACUACAGCUUUGGACUCUGUUUGAGACCUGACCUGCAAAAAAUUAAAAAUAUCUCUUGAAAACCAGUCAGAUGCUCAGCUCUUUGCGCAAAUCCUCAGAACAAGGAAAUGAUGUCAUCUCUCAGCAAGAUAGAGAUACGAAUGGCAUUUGUUUUUGUGAUUGUCAUUAUGCUGUUUCUAUUGCGGGAGAAUAUCCCCCACCAUUAUUUCAUUAUUAUUAUUAAACUUAUUAAAUAAAUGUAUAUAGCUGCCCAACUCACAGACAGUGAUUCCAGGAAGUGUCCACAUUAAAAGCCCAUAGUUAAAAAUUCACAAUUUAAUACUCAUUCAUCCCCACUCAAUGGUGGUGACAACAGAAUCAAACAAGCCACAUUAUCAGCUUUGGAUGGGCUCCCCAGGCCCACUGACAAAACCAUGUCUUCAAGGCUUUGCAAAAAAGCAACAAGAUGGGGACCAAUUAUAUUUCUAGGGGAAUGAUGUUCCACAGGGAGGGAACCAUCACAGAGAAGGCCCUUUUCCUAGGUGCCCCCCAGAUGUAAUUCUUUGGUGUUGGGACCAACAAUAUGUCUUGCCUUCCUGCUCUGGUGGGCCAGGUAUGUGUAAUUGGGGAAAGGCAGUCAUUAGGCAGUCCCCUGACCUACAAUGUGUGAUAGCACAAAUAUCUUCAGAAAACAUAAAUUCAGGACAGAAGCAAAUGGCACAACCCAUAAUAGGGGCCCUUCUUUUGGGUGAUCUUUUGGUAGCACCAAAAUUCUAAGCUGAUAAAGCACCAUUCAGUAUAUCAGUGGGCUUUUUCCCAGUGGUAACAUCCUGGUUCAUCCCAUGAAGCAACAUAUUAUAAAGCAGCUAGAA